rnacentral:rRNA from 1 species
CCUACGGGGGGCUGCAGUGGGGAAUAUUGGACAAUGGGCGAAAGCCUGAUCCAGCCAUGCCGCGUGUGUGAAGAAGGCCUUCGGGUUGUAAAGCACUUUCAGUGGGGAAGAAAGCCUUGGGGCUAAUACCCUCGAGGAAGGACAUCACCCACAGAAGAAGCACCGGCUAACUCCGUGCCAGCAGCCGCGGUAAUACGGAGGGUUCGAGCGUUAAUCGGAAUUACUGGGCGUAAAGCGCGCGUAGGCGGUCUGAUAAGCCGGUUGUGAAAGCCCCGGGCUCAACCUGGGAACGGCAUCCGGAACUGUCAGGCUAGAGUGCAGGAGAGGAAGGUAGAAUUCCCGGUGUAGCGGUGAAAUGCGUAGAGAUCGGGAGGAAUACCAGUGGCGAAGGCGGCCUUCUGGACUGACACUGACGCUGAGGUGCGAAAGCGUGGGUAGCAAACAGGAUUAGAUACCCCGGUAGUC